GACGAACGCUGGCGGCGUGCCUAAUACAUGCAAGUCGAACGCUGAAGGAGGAGCUUGCUUCUCUGGAUGAGUUGCGAACGGGUGAGUAACGCGUAGGUAACCUGCCUGGUAGCGGGGGAUAACUAUUGGAAACGAUGGCUAAUACCGCAUAAGAGUAGAUGUUGCAUGACAUUUGCUUAAAAGGUGCAAUUGCAUCACUACCAGAUGGACCUGCGUUGUAUUAGCUAGUUGGUGGGGUAACGGCUCACCAAGGCGACGAUACAUAGCCGACCUGAGAGGGUGAUCGGCCACACUGGGACUGAGACACGGCCCAGACUCCUACGGGAGGCAGCAGUAGGGAAUCUUCGGCAAUGGACGGAAGUCUGACCGAGCAACGCCGCGUGAGUGAAGAAGGUUUUCGGAUCGUAAAGCUCUGUUGUAAGAGAAGAACGAGUGUGAGAGUGGAAAGUUCACACUGUGACGGUAUCUUACCAGAAAGGGACGGCUAACUACGUG
rnacentral:rRNA from 1 species